GAGAAAGCAAGCUUGAAACAGAGAGGAACGGGUCACUUUGGUGGAGGAAAUUGGGCCACCAAGCAGCCCUAUGGAGAGGCCAAUGUGGAGAGAAACUGAGGCCUUCCACCAAAAGCCAGCACCAACUUGCUAUCCAUGUGAGUGAACCAGCUUGCAGUACAGAGUGGUCAACCCCAGUCAAGCUUUCAGAUAACUACAAGCCUAGUUGACAUCUUGACUACAACUUCAAGAGAGACAUCAAGGCAGAACUGCUUCGCUAAACUGCUCUUGAAUUCUUGACCCACAGAAACUGAGAGAGAGAAUAAAUAUUUAUUGUUGUUUCAAGUAACUACAUCCUGGGGGUAACUUCUUAUGUAUAGAUAAUAUAUACCAUAAAUUUCUUGAAAGUA
rnacentral:lncRNA from 10 species